UACGAAGGGGGCUAGCGUUGUUCGGAAUUACUGGGCGUAAAGCGUGCGCAGGCGGCUUCUCAAGUCAGGGGUGAAAGCCCAGAGCUUAACUCUGGAAUUGCCUUUGAGACUGAGAGGCUUGAGUACGGGAGAGGUGAGUGGAAUUCCCAGUGUAGAGGUGAAAUUCGUAGAUAUCGGGAGGAACACCAGUGGUGAAGGCGGCGAUCUGGGAAGAUACUGACGCUGAGGUGCGAAAGCGUGGGGAGCAAACAGG
rnacentral:rRNA from 1 species